UACGUAGGUGGCAAGCGUUGUCCGGAAUUAUUGGGCGUAAAGCGCGCGCAGGUGGUUCCUUAAGUCUGAUGUGAAAGCCCACGGCUCAACCGUGGAGGGUCAUUGGAAACUGGGGAACUUGAGUGCAGAAGAGGAAAGUGGAAUUCCACGUGUAGCGGUGAAAUGCGUAGAGAUGUGGAGGAACACCAGUGGCGAAGGCGACUUUCUGGUCGUGUAACGUGACACUGAGGCGCGAAAGCGUGGGGAGCAAACAGG
rnacentral:rRNA from 1 species